CAGCAGCCACGGUAAUACAGAGGGUGCGAGCGUUAAUCGGAUUUACUGGGCGUAAAGCGUGCGUAGGCGGCUAAUUGAGUCGGAUGUGAAAUCCCCGAGCUUAACUUGGGAAUUGCAUUCGAUACUGGGAAGCUAGAGUAUGGGAGAGGAUGGUAGAAUUCCAGGUGUAGCGGUGAAAUGCGUAGAGAUCUGGAGGAAUACCGAUGGCGAAGGCAGCCAUCUGGCCUAAUACUGACGCUGAGGUACGAAAGCAUGGGGAGCAAACAGGAUUAGAGACCCCAGUAGUCCCUGUCUCUUAUAC
rnacentral:rRNA from 1 species